UUUAUAUCAAAAUUUUGUGAAGCAAGCACUUUGAGAGGGAGACUAUCUGGUAGUUUGAGGGUAACAUGAAGGAUUAAGUACUUUCAAAGUUUGAGCCUCAAGUUAAGCUAAUUUCAAAAUUAAAAUUAUUUUAAGGAGAGAGAAUGCAAGGAUCUAGAUUUUUUUUAUCUCUCCUGCAUGACUCUUAAAGCAACGGCAAAAAAAGUAUAUAAAAAAAAAGAGGAAUACAUGAG
rnacentral:lncRNA from 1 species